UCGCACUUGAGAAAUUGUUCUUGUCUCCUUCUGCCUGUUUUCUGCCCGCAUUUGGUCAUGAGAACUGAUCCUGCUUCCCCCUGUGUGUAAUGAGCACAAUGGUGGGUGUGUGGGAAAAGGGUCUGGGCCCGGUGGAGCCUUCCUGGGCCAGCAGAUUGUGGGCUGCAGGAGGAAUACGGAAAUGAGCACAGUUCUGGGGGAAAUCGCCAAGUGUCGUUUCAGGAUUGUGUGCUCUGCUCAGGCUUCAUUUGCACCAGAUACUUGUGGCAUAUUUUUAACAAGUAUUUCAUGGGAAAGAUAGAAAAUGCUGUUUUUUCAGUGAAUGGAGUUCUAUGUAGGAUGGAAAUAUAAACAAUCUUCAAUGCUAGCUCUAGUGGAGCCAUUCAUUACUUAGAACGAUUACAAUGUACUGUAUGCUAAAAAAGAUACUGUGAUUUACAUUGUGACAUCUUCAGUAAUUAUGACAUUUGAUAGAAUUUGUUUCCCUUGGUCAUACCUGUAGAUGUCAUUUAAAAGUGUAUGUUUUCCAAUUAAAAGACGAAUGGUAGUUACUUUUUAAAAAUACAUGGGAAUGACUGUGUGAUAACAAAGAGUAUUCACUUUUUUUUCUUUUAAAAGGAACUUAUUUUUCAAUUUUGAGUUAAGGAACCGGAAGGUGUCAGAUCACCAUUUCAGAUGCAACUGUGCUCUCGAACAGGUUUGUCUUUCCUGCCAACCAAAUCCAACCUUUAAAGCGCUGAAUGGAGGUGCAGUCAAGAAGGCAGACUGUGGUGGAAAGGGAAGUCAAAGUGUUUAAAACACUUGUAACAGGAAAAGGAUGUGUGCACCGGAAGAUACCUAGAUUCACUAUAGUAAACAUCAUCUGUGAAUAGCCCACAGGAAGAGAAGAUUUCAAGCUUUUUCAGCUACAUUUCAGACUGCUGUUUAAAUGCAACGAUAUUUGAUAAGUCUUCGAUCUUUGUGCAGUUUAGUGGUUAUUAUUCCAGAGCCAAGCUCUUCACAUUUCCUCUUCCCCUUUAUCUAGGCUGAAGCUUGUCUUGUACUCAUGUUCUUGGGCAAAUAGGUAGAGGAAAAAAAAUACAUAAUUGUUGACCAGUGUAUUGAAGUGAUGAGUAGAAAUUAUAUCAGUUGAUUACCAUAUUCCCAGAGGCAAAUACUCUUACCUACUGAUGAUGUUGCACACAAGUUUGGCCUUACACAUUUAUCUGACUGUUCCUUAAUUUGAAAAUGAGGGGACUGGAA